UGACAGAGAUGUCUUAUUUAGGACUAAAUACUCCAACAUCUCUUAUUUUUCUUUUUGCUCUUUAAUCAGUUGUGAGUUUCUGUAUUAAUCACUAUAUACUGCAAGUAGAAGAUUUCCUGAUGAGGGUGCUAAUUGGAUAACCAACUAAUUCCUGACAGGAUUUAAGGCCCACUCCACAAAAUGGAACUCAUGUCUGGUACUACUAACUGGUCAAGAAUUUGUGUCUGAAUAGGUCACAGGCCGUUUUAUGUAUGUUGGGUGAUUCUGAAGGAAAGAAACAUGAGAAAAUGCAUGAAGAGAAAUCAAAAGAAGAGGGAAGAUAGUACAUUUGUAAGCCUAUCACUUGGGAUGCCGAGGCACAUGUCUCAAAUGACCAAGAGAAUCCUUGGGUGGGGCAAAGAGGAAAGAAACUGGCUGUGUUAGAACUCCCAGGUCUUCUAGUGGUGGAAAACAUUUUUCUUCUUGGGGUCAGAGUCUGUAAUUCAUUCUCUGUGCUCACUUCCCAGCCCAGGUAUAAGCACAGGGUAUUGCCCAGUGCAGUCUGCUUCUUCUGCCCUCAAAAGUCAGCCUAAGCCAUUACUCUUGUCUUGUAACUAUUAUUUUGUAAGCAAAAACGUCUUAGACAUUACAUUAAGAAUGCUGUUUCUUGCCUGUCUGUGCACUAAUACAAUCUUUUAAAAAUUA